CCUUCAUUUUUUCCUCGUUCUUGAAAAAUAGUGUUGCUGUACAUACUGUUCUAAGUUGAUAGCUAUAGGGUCUCAGCGCUUUGAAGAUAUGCCACUGUUUUUUCAUUUCCAUUUUGCUGUUGAGAAGUCAGUUGUCAGUCUAACUUUUUCUUCUGCUAGUAAAAUGUCUUUCCUUCUGGCUGUUUUUAAAAUCCCUUUGUCUUAGAUGUCUUCGCUGUCAGUAAGACAUUUCUAGGUGAGGAUUUCUUCUGAUUUAUUCUUCUUGGGAUUUGUUGGGAUUCUUGUCUCUGAGGUUUGGUAUCUUAUCAAUUAUGGAAAUACUGUCUCUCAUCCACUCUUUCUCUUCUGUCUUUUUGGAAUUCUGAUUUAGAUGUUAGGCCUUUUUUUUUUUUUUGAUGGUGAUCUUAUGUUCCUUGGAACUUUACUUGCUGAUCAUUCUUUGAGGCUUAGGUUUCAAGUUAGAAUCUUCCUUUUAUACAGAUGCCUCAGGGGGCUUUACUACCCAGAACACUUAAAACUACAUUUUUUGGUGUUAGACUUUUCUUUUGGUUAUAGGUGUAGGAUGAAUUCUGACUCCAUACUUGGAUAGGAAGGUAUCAUGGUUAGACAUUCUGAGCAGAGACUUAUUCCUUUUAUUUCCCCUUUCCUGAGGCAAGGCCAAAACACAGAAGGUUUGCUUCCAGUUUCACCCACUGAGGAUGUGGCAUUUCAGAGGGCCUGGCUUGGUAUGGGAAUUUCCAGUCUAAUUCUUGCCUUGCCAGCAGACACUCGGGGGCCAGACCACUGCCAACAUGUACAGGGAGCAAGAUAACUACACUUUUAAAAAGAUCGCUCUGGUUGCCUUAUGGAGGAUGGCUUACAGACGGCUUGAAGAGUGGAGGCAGAGAGGCAAGUUAGGAUGCGAUUAUAAACCUCAGAAGAGAGGUGUUGGCCCCGGGACAGACAGAAUGGUGGUGGAUGGGGAAGAUUAUUGAUUAAGAUGAUCUGUCUCUUCCCAUAGACUGUAAGAUACCCAGCCUCAGGUUCCCAUUUGGCCGGCGCUUGCCUUGUGACAUCUACUGGCAUGGAGUUUCAUUUCACGACAAUGACAUAUUCUCUGGUCAAGUGAACAAGUUUCCAGAUAUCUGCUGUUAUUGUUGACAUUUAAACAUGUUUCUAGGGCCAAGUCUCAGGGUAAAGGCCAUUUGUAGCCGCCAUUUUUGGCAAUGAUAUUUGUCUUAAGAAAGAAGCAUGAUAGCCGGGUGCGGUGGCCACGUCUGUAAUCCCAGCACUUUGGGAGGCCGAGGCGUGACGGAGAUGGUGCGCAAAAUUACUCUGAGCAGAGCAGUGAGAACCAUGCAGAAUCUUUCCUGAGGAGUACAACUUCUACCCUCGCUCAUGGAUUCUGCCUGACGAGUUCCAGCUCUUUGUUGCUCAGGUAGAUGGCACUCCGUCCCCAUGACCCCUGAAUUAUAUUAUGGUUGCAACUGUGUCCUGGGUCCUGUGUGCUGGGAGCUGGGACGGGGGUCCCAGGGAGCUGCGACUAAGGGAGCAUCUUAGCAGUACACAGUAGGUGUUGGCGGCUAUCAAAACAGCUUGCAGAGUUGAACGAGUAGGGUGACAGGUAGGUAAACUGAAGAAACGGGUCUUGACACAAGGAGACAGCCCUAAGGCGGAUAUCAGAGCUGGAUCAUGGAGUCAGGACGCUGGGGAGCCGGGGAGCUGGAGCCGGAGCAGGUGGUUGGGCCCCCAGGUAGGAUGGGGCCGCUGGGGGAAUCCUGGAGCCGUGGCCUCGCCGGCUUCCUGUGGCCUGAGAUGUGGGAGGUCAGGCUCUGUUUAAAGGCCAGGGAGCAGGUCUGACAAACUCAUGGGGAACCUUUUAAGUGUUUUGCUUUAAACUUGUUCCAGAAUCAAUUGUCAAGUGACCCAUUCCACCUCGAAGCACCAGGUUUGAGCAUUUAAUACACUGGAGCCCUCACCACUGAUUGUGAAGUGGAACUCAGAAUUGCCAUUUUUGUUAGCCUUUUAACAGUUUCAUUUAGGAUCCCUUCAAAGCCUUUGUGUACAAGUUUCACAGUCUGUCCCAUAACUCUGGGGUAACUAUACAACCAAUGCCUGUCUAAUUGUGAUAAGGCUAACACCAUUUACUGUUCCUGCUAUGUUCCAGGCUUUGUGCUAGAAGUUUAACAUUUUUUAUUUAUUUUUAUUUUUGUGUUUUUGAGAUGGAGUGUUGUUCUGUUGCCUAGGCCAGAGUGCAGUGGUGUGAUCUUGGCUUACUGCAGCUUCCGCCUCAUGGGUUCAAGCCAUUCUCCUGCCUCCGCCUUCUGAGUAGCUGGGACUACAGGCGGGUGCCACCACACCAGCUUUUUUUUUUAUUUUUUUUUUAUUUUUUGUAUUUUUGGUAGAGAUGGUGUUUCACCGUGUUGGCCAGGCUGGUCUCGAACUCCUGACCUCAUGCGAUCUGCCCGCCUCAGCCUCCCAAAGUGCUGGGAUUAUAGGCAUAAGCCACCACGCCCAGCCCACAUUAUUUCUUUUAAUCUUCACAGCAAUCUUGUGAGGCUGGUUUUAUUAUUAUCCCCAUAUUAUGGAUGAGGAAACUGAGGCUUUGAAAAAUUUAGCAACUUGCUUGAGAAGUAAGGUUUAAAACCUAGAGCUAUUUCCAAGGCAUAUGCUUUCUAUAGUCUAUUUUAUUGCCUCUGUAUUGUUUUGGUUUUAAUAUUGAAUUAUAAAACUUGUGAUAAAAUUAUCAUUUACUAAACACAAAAACAGCUUGAAGUGAUAAUUUUUAAAGGAAGUUUUCUCUGAGAUGGUGGUCACAUGGGUUUAUAUACAUUGCUUAAAAUUCACCGAACUAUUAACUUAAAAUGGGUGCAUUUAAUUGUAUGCAAGCUAUGCUCCAAUAAAGUUAAUUUUAAAAGAUAA